rnacentral:ncRNA from 1 species
GUGUUCGAUUAAAGGAGAAAUGGUUGGCAUCUCCCUUGAUAGGGUUGGGAACAGCUUUCAGGCCUUCUGUUAACACAAAAAAAAAAAAAAUCAUUAUCAUCUUGU